ACAGGUUGGCAAGCGGCGCACGGGUGAGUAAUACAUGUAAAUAUACCUUAAAGUGGGGAAUAACGUACGGAAACGUACGCUAAUACCGCAUAAUUAUUACGAGAUAAAGCAGGGGCUUGAUAAAAAAAAAUCAACCUUGCGCUUUUAGAAAAUUACAUGCCGGAUUAGCUAGUUGGUAGAGUAAAAGCCUACCAAGGUAACGAUCCGUAGCUGGUCUGAGAGGAUGAUCAGCCACACUGGGACUGAGAAAAGGCCCAGACUCCUACGGGAGGCAGCAGUGGGGAAUAUUGGACAAUGGGGGGAACCCUGAUCCAGUCAUGCCGCGUGUGUGAAGAAGGCCUUUGGGUUGUAAAGCACUUUCAGCGAAGAAGAAAAGUUAUAAAAUAAAAAGUUAUAACUAUGACGGUACUCGCAGAAGAAGCACCGGCUAACUCCGUGCCAGCAGCCGCGGUAAGACGGAGGGUGCAAGCGUUAAUCAGAAUUACUGGGCGUAAAGGGCAUGUAGGUGGUUUGUUAAGCUUUAUGUGAAAGCCCUAUGCUUAACAUAGGAACGGAAUAAAGAACUGACAAACUAGAGUGCAGAAGAGGAAGGUAGAAUUCCCGGUGUAGCGGUGAAAUGCGUAGAUAUCUGGAGGAAUACCAGUUGCGAAGGCGACCUUCUGGGCUGACACUGACACUGAGAUGCGAAAGCGUGGGGAGCAAACAGGAUUAGAUACCCUGGUAGUCCACGCUGUAAACGAUAUCAACUAGCCGUUGGAUUCUUAAAGAAUUUUGUGGCGUAGCUAACGCGAUAAGUUGAUCGCCUGGGGAGUACGGUCGCAAGGCUAAAACUCAAAUGAAUUGACGGGGGCCCGCACAAGCGGUGGAGCAUGUGGUUUAAUUCGAUGCAACGCGCAAAACCUUACCUACUCUUGACAUCCAAAGUACUUUCCAGAGAUGGAAGGGUGCCUUAGGGAACUUUGAGACAGGUGCUGCAUGGCUGUCGUCAGCUCGUGUUGUGAAAUGUUGGGUUAAGUCCCGUAACGAGCGCAACCCUUGUCCUUAGUUGCCA
rnacentral:rRNA from 1 species